rnacentral:rRNA from 1 species
AUGAACGCUGGCGGCGUGCCUAAUACAUGCAAGUCGAGCGCACAGACGAGGAGCUUGCUCCUCUGACGUUAGCGGCGGACGGGUGAGUAACACGUGGAUAACCUACCUAUAAGACUGGGAUAACUUCGGGAAACCGGAGCUAAUACCGGAUAAUAUAUUGAACCGCAUGGUUCAAUAGUGAAAGACGGUUUUGCUGUCACUUAUAGAUGGAUCCGCGCCGCAUUAGCUAGUUGGUAAGGUAACGGCUUACCAAGGCAACGAUGCGUAGCCGACCUGAGAGGGCGAUCGGCCACACUGGAACUGAGACACGGUCCAGACUCCUACGGGAGGCAGCAGUAGGGAAUCUUCCGCAAUGGGCGAAAGCCUGACGGAGCAACGCCGCGUGAGUGAUGAAGGUCUUCGGAUCGUAAAACUCUGUUAUUAGGGAAGAACAAAUGUGUAAGUAACUAUGCACGUCUUGACGGUACCUAAUCAGAAAGCCACGGCUAACUACGUG